rnacentral:rRNA from 1 species
UGGGGAAUAUUGCACAAUGGGCGAAAGCCUGAUGCAGCAACGCCGCGUGAGCGAUGAAGGUCUUCGGAUCGUAAAGCUCUGUCCUCAAGGAAGAUAAUGACGGUACUUGAGGAGGAAGCCCCGGCUAACUACGUGCCAGCAGCCGCGGUAAUACGUAGGGGGCUAGCGUUAUCCGGAAUUACUGGGCGUAAAGGGUGCGUAGGUGGUUUUUCAAGCCAGAAGUGAAAGGCUACGGCUCAACCGUAGUAAGCUUUUGGAACUGUAAGACUUGAGUGCAGGAGAGGAGAGUGGAAUUCCUAGUGUAGCGGUGAAAUGCGUAGAUAUUAGGAGGAACACCAGUUGCGAAGGCGGCUCUCUGGACUGUAACUGACACUGAGGCACGAAAGCGUGGGGAGCAAACA